rnacentral:lncRNA from 1 species
AAUUAGUCAUUCUUACCCUUGCUUACCUCACAGGGACAUGGGCCUGCCUUAUUUGGAGGAAGAAUUGCCGAAAUAUAUGGAGCCAUUCAAAGAUGGAUGAUGCCGCGCCUUGGAUGGUAACCAGGAAGACCAAUAAUGGAAAACACACUUGGAGAGGUGGUAUGUUAUGAAGAAACUUGGGAGUUGUUCAGCCAGCUUCCAGUUUGCUAUUCAUACAGCCAGCCGAGUAUGGAGGAGGCUGGGAGAUGAGUCUAUUCUAAAAUGGUAAGUCUGGGAGUUCCCAUUGUGGCUCAGUGGUAACCAAGCCAGCUAGUAUCCAUGAGGAUGCGGAUUUGAUCCCUGGCCUUGCUCAGUGGGUUAAGGAGCCAGUAUUGCCAUGAGCUGUGGUGUAG